rnacentral:rRNA from 1 species
UACGGAGGGUGCAAGCGUUGUUCGGAAUUAUUGGACGUAAAGCGCUUGUAGGCGGCGCGGUAAGUCUCGUGUGAAAGCUCCAGGCUCAACCUGGAAAGUGCGCGAGAAACUACCGUGCUUGAGUGUCGGAGAGGGUGGCGGAAUUCCCGGUGUAGAGGUGAAAUUCGUAGAUAUCGGGAGGAACACCAGAGGCGAAGGCGGCCACCUGGACGAGCACUGACGCUGAGAAGCGAAAGCGUGGGGAGCAAACAGG